CAUCGUCAGAGCGCAUUUCCCCAGUAUACAUUCAACAUCUGACUCAUAUUCACGAUCUCAAUAUAUUCUCAAAACUACCCGGACAGCACGACGUCGGCCCAAUAUCGAAACGUCGGCCUCACUACCUGAAACAUCUAAUAAACAUCGGCCAGGCGUAGGCCGAUAUAAUUCGGUCAGUGCUCUGUUUUCCAGCUGAUCAAUCGUCGGCUCUGAGUCGGUUCACCACCCCAGGCCGAUGCCGCGCUUUUCUGUUUGCGCGCGAGCCCAGUUAUUCGUCUCUUAGCAACCCACAGAGAGAAGACACUCAUCCCGGCGACAUCUGUGCUUUCAGGCUGACAGAAAGAAUCCGUCUCUAUACGGUGAGCUAUUGUUGCUGUUGCUUUUUGAACUACAAAUUGAGUUUUAAGUUCAUUAUUGAAUAUUAAUUGAACGAGACUGUAAUUUAUUAAUGUAAUAUUUUAAUCCUAUAUGUUUAUUUGUGUAAAUGCUGUGUACGCGUUGAGCUCUGCGCUAGCGGGGAGCAGAGUUGCCAUGGAAACGGGGCGUUGACACAACUACUGGCGAACAUCUCCGUCUCUCGCUGCGGUUUUCACUGAUUUCAGGAGGACAGAAAUAAACUCUACAUAACAGAAGGGAAUUUCCAAGAUUUCAACAUUUCUGAAGGGAGCUACUGACUUAGAAAUACAGAUUCUUCAGUGGUGAUGGCCUGCUGCACCCAGCAGAGUUGGAGUGAACCUACUGUCAGACAGUGGUGUACCGUGGGGUUUCAGGCAGGGCCUUCAGCAAGCAACUGUAAACUACAUAGCCAGCAGAGAAGGCCCUGCUUCCCCUGACAGCCCACCACUGCUGUCAGACGACAUCUCCAAGAUGCUAUAAACCGCAGGGCUUGAUGCCCAUCCCGAGGUUACUAGAGAUGAAGCCAGCUCCAGUUUGGAUCCAAACUCACUUGUGAAGAUGCCAACGCUCACAAAGACUACAGAUGACGGCAACUGUACAUGGACACACAAAACACUGGACACACAAAACAAAUAUUAUCUGUAAUAUCUGUAAAUGAACAAUAUUUACUCUUUCUCUGAGUUAUAUGGACCCUAUUUGUCCCCUUUCAUUUGUAAGCAGCACUCCGCAGGAUGACGCAAAAUGAAAUGAGUUUUGACAAAAUGACAAACACUUUUGCAGCAUCUAAAUGAAAAAAUGCUGUUUUGCAUCAGUUUUGCUGACAAAUACACUGGGUAUCUUGGAGAAAGAAUAAACAUUGUUCUUUUACAUAUGUUACCAACAUUGUAACAAUACAAAAUGGACUGAAAAUUGUUGAACUUACCCUUUAAUAAUGUUGAAGGAUAAUGUUUAACUGAACACAAAAAUAGAGACUUUAGUAAGAUUUUAUCAGAAAAUAUUUUAGAAUUUUUAUCAUGCUAUUUAAAAAUUUUAACUGCUUAUUUAUUGUUUGCCUGGUUUUUAAUUGGUGUUUAUGCAACUGUUGUAUUAUUGUAACUCAGUUUUUGCCAUGAAGAUAGCCUUCGAUGCUGACAGCACAGAACACAUGACUUGUUUUAUGAACUACUGUCAUAUGGACAUUAUUUUGUUGCCAGAAGAUGGUCUUCCCCAGUGAGUCUCAGUCACCUCUGGCUGAUUAAAGGAUGUUUUUAAAUUGUAACCUUGAAAUAUGCAUAUUCUGUAAACCUACUUUGAAAUGAUAAGUAUUGUGAAAAGUGUUAUACUUAUGCAAUAUUUAACCAUGGUUUUACUAUAGUAAAACUGUAGCAAGCAUGAUUAUAGUAACCAUGUGUUUUUUUUUUUUUGAAACCAUGGUUUCGAUGUCAUAUUCUAUAGUAAUAUUGUAGUAAUACUUCAGUAAAACUGGUAACUAUGACUAUAGUAACCAUAGUUUUUGAAAUCAUGGUAAAUGUUGUAACUUUGGUUGUACUGCAAAUGCUGUAGUAACGGUUAUUUUGUAGUUACUAUGGUUUUACUGCAACAGUCAUAGUUAAACCAUGGUUACUGUAGUAAAACUAUGGCAGAUUUUAUUUUUACUAUGGUUUUACUACUUUAAAUGCUAUAGUAAUGGUUAUUUUUGUACUUACUAUGGUUUUACUGCAACAGUCAUAGUUAAACCAUGGUAAUUGUUGUAAAACUAUGGUUGAUUUUGAGUUUACUAUGGUUUUACUGCAAAUGCUGUGGUAAAAUCAUGGUUAAUUUUCAAAAGACUACAAAUAAUCGUGAAUUAUCCGCUUUUGAUCAAAACAUCUGGUAAAUGUAAAUGUAUUUGUAUGUGUAACGUGUUAAAUGAAAAUAGUAAUAAAGUUGCAGCUGUUCUUGA